rnacentral:rRNA from 1 species
UACGUAGGGUGCAAGCGUUAAUCGGAAUUACUGGGCGUAAAGCGUGCGCAGGCGGUUGUGUAAGUCUGUCGUGAAAUCCCCGGGCUCAACCUGGGAAUUGCGAUGGAGACUGCACGGCUAAAGUGUGUCAGAGGGGGGUAGAAUUCCGCGUGUAGCAGUGAAAUGCGUAGAUAUGCGGAGGAACACCGAUGGCGAAGGCAAUCCCCUGGGCCUGCACUGACGCUCAUGCACGAAAGCGUGGGGAGCAAACAGG